CCCUGCCAUUUGUACACACCGCCCGUCGCACCUACCGAUUGGAUGGUCCGGUGAAGCCUCGGGAUUGUGACUGGUGCCUUCGCUGGUGUCAGUUGCGAGAACUUGUCUAAACCUUAUCAUCUAGAGGAAGGUGA
rnacentral:rRNA from 1 species